rnacentral:lncRNA from 1 species
GAGACCCCUCGCUGCCUCCAGAACCCGAAACAGCCACAGAAGACUCCGGGAGAGAUUUCCUUUACUUCAGUAUUGGAUUCCCUGCUCUAGGUAACACAUUAUUCUUUCUAUGUAUGGGUUCCAGAACUUGGAAAAGCUGUUUUGUGGGCUGUGGCGCUGAGAUUCCCUCUGGCAGCAGCGUCUGUCGCUUUUCUAGACUGUUAGUGGGUAUCUCGGGGUAACAAGACAUCCUUCCAAGCAGCCUGAGAUUUUUCCCUCAUGAAUUUUCCAAGCCUCUUGAAGCCUCUGAGACUGGACUCCAUAAGAGGGUUUUUCCAUGGGGAACUCGCACUUUCUCUGGGAAAGUUGCACUGUUUGUAAGCAUUCCGUUGCUGGUCCUCUCCCAGUAAACAGCAACAUUUCUCUUAAGUGUGGCAAGUUAACUGGGUCAAACCUGAGGGCAAGAGAGAUGGAAAUGUAGAGACUUGUACGUCUAUUUAUGAACUUUUAUUUGUCUUCUUUAUUACCAGUCGGAUUCAUCGUAAUAUGCUCCCUGUUGUGGUGCCUCUACAGAAGAAAACGAGGAACGGUUGUGGGUCCCCAUACCAAAGAAAGCAUCCCCAUGGCCCCUGUGACCUCCAGAGAAGAAGGCUCUUCGUUCAGCCCCCUGGACGAUCCAGAGCCCUCUGGGGAAGGGGCUCCCAUGUUACGGAUCCACCAUGCCGCUCCCACCAGUUUGGCGCAUCAUCAAGCCAGUGCAAACGGAGACGGGGACGGCAGUUCUUAGGAGCCCGGCUGAAAAGCAAGGCAGCAGCCUGUGUCAGGAUUGUGAAUCGCACCCCUUCUCUCUUAGGAGCCCGGCUGAAAAUCAAGGCAGCAGCCUGUGUCAGGAUUGUGAAUCGCACCCCUUCUCUUUUGGUGAGAAACCCUGGGGGGAAAAAUAAUUCUGGGAAAUUAACUUCUGCUGCAGCCCUGGCUGGGAUUUCCUGUUUUUCCUGGCCAGGGUUGAGAACGACAACAUGCGAGCCUCUCCGUGUGGACUCCCUUCUCUCCUGA